rnacentral:rRNA from 1 species
UACGUAGGGUGCGAGCGUUAAUCGGAAUUACUGGGCGUAAAGGGCUCGUAGGCGGCCAACUAAGUCAGACGUGAAAUCCCUCGGCUUAACCGGGGAACUGCGUCUGAUACUGGAUGGCUUGAGUUUGGGAGAGGGAUGCGGAAUUCCAGGUGUAGCGGUGAAAUGCGUAGAUAUCUGGAGGAACACCGGUGGCGAAGGCGGCAUCCUGGACCAACACUGACGCUGAUGAGCGAAAGCCAGGGGAGCAAACGGG